CACCACCACAAAAACCAAUAUUCAGGCAGUUUUCUUUGCUUAGACGUGAAAGCUGUUUUAACACUGGCCCUUGUGAAGCCACACUGUACCAAAAG